AGUGAACGCUGGCGGUAGGCCUAACACAUGCAAGUCGAACGGUAGCACAGUAAGAGCUUGCUCUUACGGGUGGCGAGUGGCGGACGGGUGAGGAAUACAUCGGAAUCUACUUUUUCGUGGGGGAUAACGUAGGGAAACUUACGCUAAUACCGCAUACGACCUACGGGUGAAAGCAGGGGAUCUUCGGACCUUGCGCGAUUGAAUGAGCCGAUGUCGGAUUAGCUAGUUGGCGGGGUAAAGGCCCACCAAGGCGACGAUCCGUAGCUGGUCUGAGAGGAUGAUCAGCCACACUGGAACUGAGACACGGUCCAGACUCCGACGGGAGGCAGCAGUGGGGAAUAUUGGACGAUGGGCGCAAGCCUGAUCCAGCCAUACCGCGUGGGUGAAGAAGGCCUUCGGGUUGUAAAGCCCUUUUGUUGGGAAAGAAAAGCAGCAGGUUAAUACCCCGCUGUUCUGACGGUACCCAAAGAAUAAGCACCGGCUAACUUCGUG
rnacentral:rRNA from 1 species